AUUGAACGCUGGCGGCAGGCCUAACACAUGCAAGUCGAGCGAGCGGCGGAGGGGGGUGUAUUGUAUGGGGGCUGUGCGAUAGGGGGGGAUAACUAUUGGAAACGGUAUCUAAUACCGCACACUACCGGAUAACCCCCAUGGGAUUAGAUAGUUGGUGGGGUAAUGGCUCACCAAGGCGACGCUCCCUAGCUGGUCUGAGAGGAUGACCAGCCACACUGGGACUGAGACACGGCCCAGACUCCUACGGAGGCAGCAGUGGGGAAUAUUGCACAAUGGGCGCAAGCCUGAUGCAGCCAUGCCGCGUGUAUGAAGAAGGCCCUCGGGUUGUAAAGUACUUUCAGUCGGGAGGCGUUACCGACAGAAGAAGCACCGGCUAACUCCGUGCCAGCAGCCGCGGUAAUUC
rnacentral:rRNA from 1 species